ensembl:lncRNA
GUCCAUUAGGUGGCGGGAGUUUUCCUUUACGUUUGGUUUGCCAACUGCAUUAAAGACAAGAAGCGAAAGAAGAAGUGUAUUCCCUAUUUUUACUGAUUAUACCUGUAAAUACUGCAGUUAUUUCAUCCAGAGCUGAACUGACUCAGCCAUGAUUUAGGAUGAUUUAAGACAAACAACAUUAAGAACUGACCGCUUCAAGGAGGCCUGGAGCAAAUUGAACCGCUGAUUGAAUCCAAAGCCAAAGGACAUUAAAAGAAUCAAGACCCACUUGAGUUUGAUGGAGGGCAAAAGAGACAGAUGCAGCUGUACGUCCACGAGCUAAAGCACAUCAUCCUCAACAACAGGCAUCAGACUCUUCAGGCUAUGAGAGCGAGCUGUUGCUGGAAUUGCAUCAGCCAAUCGCAGAUGCUACAUCACUUCCAGGUGAGGCCUGAUUGUUCUGUGAAACAGCUGAUGGGAUCAAGGCUAGAGUGGGAAAAAGAGGUGUUUUUACCUCUUAUUGACCACGGUCUGCUGGGAUGUCCUCUCUGUGUGGGCCUGCUUUCAUAAACACCAUUACACAUAACUUCUUUAUGCGUUUCCCUCGGCCUACCUUCAAUUACGGUUGCAGCCACUCUCGCCUUCAUGUUAAUUUGUGCGUUGAGACCUUUGAGCUUUGUGAUGAGCUGGUGUUAAUCACACAGCUCACACCACAACUGUGUCCACAGCCCCUCGGAGAUUGCCUCUGAUCAGAGCAAAAUGACUUGACAAGUCUGUGAUUCCAACAAUUCAAGACACCAGUUUGCCCGAGGACAAGGGCGCAGCCCCAAACAUCCCAUAAUUACCUUGGGGGAGAUGAAAAUGCAGAGAGAACAGGAAAUCUUGAGGCAGAAAUACACAGAACACUCAAUCCUACAUCUUACCGGUUGCUGCUGGGGCAUUACGGCAGGAGUGUAAUGGAGGACUUGUUUGCAAAUGCAAAUUAAAAUUAAAUAGAAGGGAAAGGAAAGGAGGCCAACUUUGAUUUGGUGUUUGUUUUCCCACUCAACUGACCCAAACCUCUUCCUCCCAGGGCCAUGAUUAAUUUGUGGCUGGCCCUGCUGUACAUGGGGGCCCAAUCAGUGGAUGAUAGGCCUUUGAUUGGAUGCAGGUUCUCAGCUCUCACAUGCUAUUAGGAAUCACAGGUAUGUGGUGGGCGAAGCCACUAACACUCUCAUUGAGUCGAGGGCUUAAAUUUAGUAUGCACACUCUAUCAACCAUAGCUCACUCCAGUACAAUGGCCUCUGACAUCGUAAGGAUGAUGGAUUAUGAAGAUGGAGUGUUUGUGAUUUGGCUGCUUAUUCAAAGUGAUAGACCUUUGCAUUCUAGCAUCCUUACUGCUUCACUCCUGCAUUUAUCACUAGUUUAUUGUAAUUUCUUUGCAUCAGCAUCCUAGUAUAUAUCAGUAGUCAACACUUUCAAAUAAUAAAGGGCAUACUUUGUCAUGCACAUUGACAAUGGUUGAUGCUAAUGAAUGAGACUGUUGAAAAAGUUUUGAAGUGGCAUCUUAUUGCCAUUGCUGCAGGUGCUGUAUAAUAAAGUGAGUAAUUUUGAUAGUGCAGUUCCUUGUUUCCAGGGAUUGAUACAGCUGAUCCCGGUGGAAUUAAUAUAAACUUAAUCAAACAGAAUUUCUAAUGACUGUUUUUUUUAUUUUUUAUUUUUUUUAUUUGCUGCAGUAUGUGCAGGUGGAAGCCUUUUAAACAUACCUGUAUAAAGCUGAACAAUAUGCUCAAACUCCUGCUUGUCAAAAAUAACGUUAAACUAAGUUAUGGACAGUUUUUGCAACAUUUAGUUUAUGAGAUAAAGGGGGCUAAUGUUUCUCACCAAUGGCAUUUUAUUUUUUGUAACAAACAAAACAAAC